rnacentral:lncRNA from 1 species
CUAUGGGUUGCUACGCCUCACUAAUGUUGACCCAAGUCAGAGGUUUUCGGGGCUCGGCGUUUCGGAGCAGAAGAGGGGGGAAUCGAAUUCUACCCCUUGUAGAUUGGGGGAUCACUUCGGUAAUACGCCUCUCGUGAAGCACCCCGUAUAUGCACUUAUGCGCACUUAGGCUGCUAAGAAAGAUAGGGCUCCUGACCUCUGUUCUUGGUUGAUUAUUGUUUUCACUUGGCACUAGCACAGAUCAACACAGAUUCCU